UAAUACGGGGGGAGCAAGCGUUGUUCGGAUUUACUGGGCGUAAAGGGCGUUUAGGCGGGCCUUCAAGUCAGAUGUGAAAUUCCCCGGCUCAACCGGGGACCUGCAUUUGAUACUGUCGGCCUUGAGUACAGGAGAGGAAAGCGGAACUGUGCGUGUAGCGGUGAAAUGCGUAGAUAUGCACAGGAACACCGGUGGCGAAGGCGGCUUUCUGGCCUGAUACUGACGCUGGAGCGCGAAAGCGUGGGGAGCAAACAGGAUUAGAUACCCUGGUAGUCCACGCCGUAAACGAUGGGCACUAGGUGUUGGAGGUAUUGACCCCUUCAGUGCCGCAGCUAACGCAUUAAGUGCCCCGCCUGGGGAGUACGAUCGCAAGGUUG
rnacentral:rRNA from 1 species